AGAGUUUGAUCAUGGCUCAGAACGUACGCUGGCGGCACGCCUAAUACAUGCAAGUCGAACGAAGUAGCAAUACUUAGUGGCAGACGGGUGAGUAACAUGUGGGUAUCUUCCCUUUGGUGAGGAAUAACACGAGGAAACUUGUGCUAAUACCUCAUAAGUCUUUACGGAGAAAGCUUUAUGCGCCAUUGGAUGAGCCCGCACUUGAUUAGUUAGUUGGUGGGGUAAUGGCCUACCAAGACUUUGAUCAAUAGCUGAUUUGAGAGGAUGAUCAGCCACAUUGGGACUGAGACACGGCCCAAACUCCUACGGGAGGCAGCAGUAGGGAAUCUUGCACAAUGGAGGAAACUCUGAUGCAGCGAUGCCGCGUGAGUGAAGAAGGCCCUUGGGUUGUAAAGCUCUUUCGUCGGGGAAGAAAAUGACUGUACCCGAAUAAGAAGGUCCGGCUAACUUCGUGCCAGCAGCCGCGGUAAUACGAAGGGACCUAGCGUAGUUCGGAAUUACUGGGCUUAAAGAGUUCGUAGGUGGUUAAAAAAGUUGGUGGUGAAAGCCCAGAGCUUAACUCUGGAACUGCCAUCAAAACUUUUUAGCUAGAGUAUGAUAGAGGAAAGCAGAAUUUCUAGUGUAGAGGUGAAAUUCGUAGAUAUUAGAAAGAAUACCAAUUGCGAAGGCAGCUUUCUGGAUCAUUACUGACACUGAGGAACGAAAGCAUGGGUAGCGAAGAGGAUUAGAUACCCUCGUAGUCCAUGCCGUAAACGAUGUGUGUUAGAUGUUGGAAAUUUAUUUUCA
rnacentral:rRNA from 1 species